CGUCAAGUUGAGCCCUCAGAUCCUCGAUCUCAUUUAAAAUCCUCUGAGAAUCAUCGCAAGCCACCUUCAAAUGUUCUGCCCAUGGGUGACAAUAUUAAAGCAUGGCAUGAAGACAAGCGUGAAAGAUCUAAGUAGAUUUUCAGUUCUGCCCCAAAAUCCUGGCCUGUUGAGGCUGCAGAAACCAAGAAAACAUUUCCCUUCAGUAAGUGCAAGCUAUAUAUCCCACCACAGGUACAGCUAGGUGAGCAAUCUAUCACAAAGUCUGUUCCUGAGAAUAGUACAUGUUACAGCUGAACAUAAACAUAGUAAAACGAACUAGAGAAUGAGAUGGCUGGACACAAACUGAUUUUUUUCAACAAAACUAAAAUAAUAAGAUGUGUGAUGUGCCAACAAAACUGAUGAUCCAAGCAACCAAUUAGUGUCAGCAUAUCAAGUCAGCCUUCAGAAACCUUGGACGCUUGAUUCUGACUAAUUAUCACUGUUGAUUUCUCUUGACAUUUACCUAAGUUAAUUCAAGUGUAAUUGUUCCCCGCUAACUGUACCACGUCACUACACUCUGUUGCUACAAAUUCCACCACUCAGAUAGUCAGAUUGCUAAUCCUGAAGCCCAAAAGGUCUCCAUUCGUUAGCCAAUUGAAAGAGUAUGUGACCCUAACCCAAGGUCGCAGUACAGUUCAAAAAAAAAA